AUAGGUCCGGGACUCGGCCCAUUUACAGCCUUACAGACCAGGCAGCACAUAUAUCCAUGUUCAUUGUGAAAAGAAAAGGAAGAGGGGGGAAAUUGAAUCUGAAAAAACGUAUCUGCAAUGCCGAUGAGAAAUCUCUUAAAAUUCUCAUGAGAGUCGUAAUUAGCGAUGUCGGCAACAGAUGAGAGUUGGACAUCCAACGUAACAUUUGAUAAAUAAAGAAAUUAAUGAACGAUUUGCAUUUGUUUGAUUUAAAAUGAAUAAACGUUGCCAAAAAACAUGUUUGAUGUAAACACGCAUUCUUCCAAACGGGACCUGUCUCUUUUCGAUAACAGAUCGAAUCUACGAUUAAUGUAUUCAGAUUAUUUAGAUAUUCCAUAUGUUUUUCGACAUCAUUUGAGAUUUUAGAACUUGAGAUCGAGGAUUAAUAAAUUAAUUAAUGUAUUUAUUUGAAUAUUUGAUUCUCUUUUAUAAGUAAAAUAAAUAAUAGGGUCGUUACGGAGGCUGGAGUUAUUUCUAGAAGUUUGAGAAUCUUGGAAAUGCGGCUGUCGGUGCUCUCAUUCACACAAUCGAUGUGUCCACAAUACAAAGCAGACAGACUCAAUGGAUUUCAAAUUGAUUCGUCUUUUGUUUUGGGCUGUGGAGCAAAUUAGAGAAUCAGAAAUAAAAUAUGCCUCGAUCUCUGAAGAGAUUAAACUUAAAGUCAAGAAUACAUGCAUGGGCAUGGCAGAGCUCGCCAGAGAUGGCAGUUGACCGACUGGCUGGCUGCCCUGCCGGAAAAAGACUUAGUAUAAUCAAUCAAUAUGUUCCGUGACAAACAUCUCUGACAAUCAUGGACUUUGGCGACCAAUAUUACGAUGUCGGUCUGUCUUUCGGUCUCGCUUCCAGUCCAUCAAUUAUCUACCUGCUUCUGCUGCUGCUAUACAUAUAAUUAUUAAUCUCAUAUAUAUUCCAGUUUAAUUUGCUUAAUUUGUUCUAUUCUGCUGCUUGAAAAUUGAAACCAUUGAUUCCUUGAAUUGGGAUUGGGUCAGGUCAGCCAUAUUUAUAUGAGAAUGACUGCAUGACAGAACAACUAAUUAAAUGUUUCCAUGUUCGAAGACUACGUACAGAAACUAUUAUUUCUUCUUCUAAGUUCGAUCUACUCUAUAGGCUAUAUCAACAACCAGAUCGACUACUACUAGAGAACUAGCUGUUGAUUCUGCUGGUGCUACCAGGUCAUGAACUAAUGAAGUAGUUCAAGUCCAAGCCUGAUCGAUCGUCUGAACUCUGAACUCGUGCAUACACAUUACUGUUCAGAACGAUUAAUAAUUUAACAGUUGUUGUCUUGGUCUGAUCUGCUGGCUUCUGUGACAAAGAAGACCCAUUCGUGUUCCUCCAAAUUAAAUUAAAGUCCAAACCCACAAUUAUUUUGAAUUCACUUCUAUCAUCUGUC
rnacentral:lncRNA from 1 species